rnacentral:tRNA from 1 species
CGGGCAACUGGCAAGACCACCGAACUGUUAAUCCGCAGGUCCCUGGUUCGAGUCCAGGUCGGGGAGCCA